rnacentral:lncRNA from 1 species
CUCCACUAGACACGCCAAGUUGUGACCGCGGUGUGAAAAGGCCCCUCCCACGGUGAUGGGACGUGGUAGUAGUAGUUGUGGUGGUGAUAAUAACAAAUAACAAAUAAUAGUAGUCGCAGUAAUAAUAAUAAUAGUAGUGGGUAACGUGAGCGUUGUCAGGUGGGGGGGGGGGGACUGCUGGGCUUUGACGGGCCGGGUGGAACUGCCACGCUGCCACUUUCCCAUCAUGAGGGCCACUGGGGCUGCUGGUACCUCCCUUCCCACCCUCUCGAGUGUUCCCGAGCAGUGUGUUGACCACCCUCCUGGAUCUCGUACCCGCCCCGCUCGGCCAGCCUGUCAACCCGUGCUCACGCUAUCCGGUGUCGAACCCUUGUCAGUUAGUACCUCCACUGGAUCACCGGCCCGGAAACUUAAAUAUAUAUACAUUUACAUAUAUCGUGGGUAUUGGGGACUUCCCUGCU